UACGUAGGGGGCAAGCGUUGUCCGGAAUCAUUGGGCGUAAAGAGCGUGUAGGCGGCCCGGUAAGUCCGCUGUGAAAAGUCCAGGGCUCAACCCUGGGAUGCCGGUGGAUACUGUCGGGCUAGAGUCCGGAAGAGGCGAGUGGAAUUCCCGGUGUAGCGGUGAAAUGCGCAGAUAUCGGGAGGAACACCAAUGGCGAAGGCAGCUCGCUGGGACGGUACUGACGCUGAGGCGCGAAAGCGUGGGGAGCAAACAGG
rnacentral:rRNA from 1 species